GGUUGACCUCGGAUCAGGUAGGAGUUACCCGCUGAACUUAAGCAUAUCAAUAAGCGGAGGAAAAGAAACCAACCGGGAUUGCCUCAGUAACGGCGAGUGAAGCGGCAAGAGCUCAAAUUUGAAAUCUGGCCCCCUCGGGGUCCGAGUUGUAAUUUGCAGAGGAUGCUUCGGGUGCGGUCCCCAUCUAAGUGCCCUGGAACGGGCCGUCAUAGAGGGUGAGAAU
rnacentral:rRNA from 2 species